rnacentral:lncRNA from 1 species
CCGCUGAUAUAUCGUUCCUAUUGAUUAUUUUCUCCUUAGGAUUCUUUUUAUUAUAUUGCGAUUUUCCUAAUUCCAUGUAAUGUCACGGGCAUACUUAUCUCCAAAAUCCAAAAGGCAUGAUUCGCCUUAUUCUUCAGUUCGAUACUCAUCGCACAAGUGUGUCUUGGUCAUCAAUAUGGCAACAAAGGAAUGCAACCAUGCAUUGGAGCAAUCGUAUACCUAGGACAGCCUAUAGCGUGGCCCAUGUCAUGAGACCAGAUUCCUUUGUUGACUGUGUCAGAUUCGGCUAGUAAAUUCUAGCUUGGGUCUUGCACCUUCGUGUGCCACCGCUUGGUUAGUCCAAGUGAAAUGAUAACUUUUAUUUGGGGAGGAAACGUACAUCCAUGACCUUAAUGUAAUGGUACCCCCUUGGCUAUAUUUUUGUCAUGUGGAAAACCUAUACCAUGUUCCUCGCAUGCCCUUCAAUCGACACUAGACUCUUCUCUUUUGUUCAUUCAUUCGCUGGGGCGAUCAUCACCCAACUUACUUGAAUAAACUAGGAGAUGACACACAUUAUCCAAUGUGAAGAAUUGUCAACCAAGGACCAAAAUCCGGCAACCACAC